GCCCCCGUAGCUCAGCUGGUCAGAGCAAGCGGCUUUUAACCGCAAGGUCGUCGGUUCGAAUCCGACCGGGGGCA
rnacentral:tRNA from 1 species